UACGGGGGGAGCAAGCGUUGUUCGGAUUUACUGGGCGUAAAGGGCGCGUAGGCGGCCACCGCAAGUCGACUGUGAAAUCUCCGGGCUUAACCCGGAAAGGUCAGCCGAUACUGCGGGGCUAGAGUGCAGAAGGGGCAACUGGAAUUCUCGGUGUAGCGGUGAAAUGCGUAGAUAUCAGGAGGAACACCGAUUGCGAAGGCAGCUCGCUGGGACGUAACUGACGCUGAGACGCGAAAGCGUGGGGAGCAAACAGG
rnacentral:rRNA from 1 species